rnacentral:rRNA from 1 species
GAUGAACGCUGGCGGCGUGCCUAAUACAUGCAAGUCGAGCGAACAGACGAGGAGCUUGCUCCUCUGACGUUAGCGGCGGACGGGGGAGUAACACGUGGAUAACCUACCUAUAAGACUGGGAUAACUUCGGGAAACCGGAGCUAAUACCGGAUAAUAUAUUGAACCGCAUGGUUCAAUAGUGAAAGACGGUUUUGCUGUCACGUAUAGAUGGAUCCGCGCCGCAUUAGCUAGUUGGUAAGGUAACGGCUUACCAAGGCAACGAUGCGUAGCCGACCUGAGAGGGUGAUCGGCCACACUGGAACUGAGACACGGUCCAGAAUCCUACGGGAGGCAGCAGUAGGGAAUCUUCCGCAAUGGGCGAAAGCCUGACGGAGCAACGCCGCGUGAGUGAUGAAGGUCUUCGGAUCGUAAAACUCUGUUAUUAGGGAAGAACAAAUGUGUAAGUAACUAUGCACGUCUUGACGGUACCUAAUCAGAAAGCCACGGCUAACUACGUG